CAAAAUGUAGCUUACAUCCAAGCACCUGACUUACAACCAGACGACGUUAUCACAACCAUUUUGA
rnacentral:tRNA from 1 species